rnacentral:rRNA from 1 species
GACGAACGCUGGCGGCGUGCCUAAUACAUGCAAGUAGAACGCUGAAGGAGGAGCUUGCUUCUCUGGAUGAGUUGCGAACGGGUGAGUAACGCGUAGGUAACCUGCCUGGUAGCGGGGGAUAACUAUUGGAAACGAUAGCUAAUACCGCAUAAUAGUAGAUGUUGCAUGACAUUUGCUUAAAAGGUGCAAUUGCAUCACUACCAGAUGGACCUGCGUUGUAUUAGCUAGUUGGUGAGGUAACGGCUCACCAAGGCAACGAUACAUAGCCGACCUGAGAGGGUGAUCGGCCACACUGGGACCGAGACACGGCCCAGACUCCUACGGGAGGCAGCAGUAGGGAAUCUUCGGCAAUGGACGGAAGUCUGACCGAGCAACGCCGCGUGAGUGAAGAAGGUUUUCGGAUCGUAAAGCUCUGUUGUAAGAGAAGAACGAGUGUGAGAGUGGAAAGUUCACACUGUGACGGUAUCUUACCAGAAAGGGACGGCUAACUACGUG